rnacentral:lncRNA from 10 species
CAGGCAGGGCCGUGUGCACACACCCGUAACAUGUGCUACCUGGGGAGUGAGCAGAGAUAAGGGCCUCCGAGAGAGACUUUCCUCAUUGACAGACACGUUGUCUCUGAAGACAAGCAAUGCCGGCAGGUUUCUGGAAACUGAGAAAGAGUGCCUGGGCUUUCCAGGGGUGCACCUUUCCUGAAGGAAGGAAAGACAUUUUGCCUGUGUGUGCAUGCAUGUGGUAUGUGUGUGGUACGUAUGUGUGUUGUGUGCAUGAAUGUGCAUGCGUGUUUUCAAAACAGAUUUUUCUGCCUGAUACAGAUUUUCCUGCCCUCGGGAAGAGCAAACAACUCACAGACAGCGACUCUCUGCUGCCCAUACCCAGACACACACGAGUCUCCGAGGUGGAAAGGCGGGGGCUGUGGUCAGGGGCUUUCUCCAAGGGGAUUGCUUAGCUGGGGAUGGCGUCGCUGCUGCUGGUGAUGAGGAGCUAGUGAGAGAGACCCCCAGAGACUCCUGCUAGGCAGCUUUCUGCCAGUCCAAACGCAGAUCCGAUCGAGUGCUGUCUUUCUGGGUGGUGCAUCUUUACUGAGAAAAGGGAGAUGUGAGGGAUUUUUCCCUAGGGAUAGAGCCUGUGAAAUGUGUGUGUGUGUGUAAGGAUGAGAGAGAGAGACUUGCUGCAUGUCUGCUUUCAGAGACACAGACAGAACAAGACACAGACAUCUUCCUGCAUGCACGUGGACACACACACACACACACACACACACACAAAAUCUUCCUGCUGUCACAGCAUGACUGAGUUUUUCUGUCCGGUGGUGGGGGAGGUGCCUAUUUGCCAAGUGUCAGAAACCUUCAGAGAGAGACUUUUCUGAGAGAGAGAGAGAGAGAGAAAGAGAAAGGAAGAGAUUAAAAGACUUUCUGAUUUUCUGCCUGGAGACACACACAUACUUUAUUCUGC